AGUGAACGCUGGCGGUAGGCCUAACACAUGCAAGUCGAACGGCAGCACAGUAAGAGCUUGCUCUUACGGGUGGCGAGUGGCGGACGGGUGACGAAUACAUCGGAAUCUACUUUUUCGUGGGGGUUAACGUAGGGAAACUUACGCUAAUACCGCAUACGACCUACGGGUGAAAGCAGGGGAUCUUCGGACCUUGCGCGAUUGAAUGCGCCGAUGUCGGAUUAGCUAGUUGGCGGGGUAAAGGCCCACCAAGGCGACGAUCCGUAGCUGGUCUGAGAGGAUGAUCAGCCACACUGGAACUGAGACACGGUCCAGACUCCUACGGGAGGCAGCAGUGGGGAAUAUUGGACAAUGGGCGCAAGCCUGAUCCAGCCAUACCGCGUGGGUGAAGAAGGCCUUCGGGUUGUAAAGCCCUUUUGUUGGGUAAGAAAAGCAGCAGGUUAAUACCCCGCUGUUCUGACGGUACCCAAAGAAUAAGCACCGGCUAACUUCGUG
rnacentral:rRNA from 1 species